AGCUCCAAUAGCGUAUAUUAAAGUUGCUGCAGUUAAAAAGCUCGUAGUUGGAUUUGUGGCGCGGCCGUCCGGCGGGGCUCCUUCAUUGGGGCCGUUUGUCUGGUUUUUCGGCCGCCCCAUUCUCGGGUAGUGUGUCGCUGGCAUUAGGUUGUCGGCUUCUUCACGCCCGUCGUUUACUGUGAAAAAAUUAGAGUGUUCAAAGCAGGCUUAGGCCGUUGGAUACAUUAGCAUGGAAUAAUGAGAUAGGGCCACGACGGUCUAUUUUGUUGGUUUGCACGUUGUGGUAAUGAUUAACAGGAACGGUUGGGGGUAUUCGUAUUCAAUUGUCAGAGGUGAAAUUCUUGGAUUUAUGGAAGACGAACUACUGCGAAAGCAUUUGUCAAGGAUGUUUUCAUUAAUC
rnacentral:rRNA from 1 species